rnacentral:lncRNA from 1 species
GGCCCACCUGGCCCUCAAGCAGAGAAGGGCAGCGAAGGGAUUCGAGGCCCAUCAGGCCUGCCUGGCUCCCCUGGGCCACCGGGACCUCCUGGGAUUCAGGGCCCCGCCGGUCUGGAUGGUUUGGAUGGGAAGGACGGCAAGCCUGGCUUGAGGGGGGACCCUGGUCCUGCUGGCCCCCCUGGACUCAUGGGACCACCGGGCUUUAAGGGGAAAACAGGACAUCCUGGCCUCCCAGGACCUAAGGGUGACUGUGGCAAACCAGGUCCCCCUGGCAGCACUGGCCGGCCUGGCGCAGAGGGUGAACCUGGUGCCAUGGGACCCCAGGGAAGACCCGGUCCCCCGGGACACGUUGGGCCACCAGGGCCUCCAGGCCAGCCAGGACCAGCUGGGAUCUCUGCAGUGGGUCUGAAAGGAGACCGAGGAGCCACCGGAGAAAGGGGCCUUGCAGGCCUCCCAGGCCAGCCCGGCCCCCCUGGACACCCUGGCCCCCCAGGCGAACCUGGUACGGAUGGUGCAGCUGGCAAAGAGGGACCCCCUGGAAAGCAGGGAUUCUAUGGACCUCCUGGUCCCAAGGGUGAUCCAGGAGCUGCAGGACAGAAGGGCCAGGCAGGAGAGAAGGGGAGAGCCGGCAUGCCUGGUGGACCUGGCAAGAGUGGUUCCAUGGGGCCUGUUGGGCCACCGGGCCCUGCAGGAGAGAGAGGCCACCCUGGAGCUCCGGGGCCUUCGGGGAGCCCUGGCUUGCCUGGUGUGCCUGGCUCCAUGGGAGACAUGGUGAAUUAUGAUGAAAUCAAGAGGUUCAUCAGACAAGAGAUCAUUAAAAUGUUUGAUGAGAGAAUGGCUUACUACACCUCCAGGAUGCAGUUCCCCAUGGAGAUGGCGGCAGCUCCGGGACGACCAGGGCCUCCAGGGAAGGAUGGUGCUCCGGGCAGGCCAGGUGCUCCAGGGUCACCUGGGCUCCCUGGUCAGAUUGGCAGAGAAGGACGGCAGGGCUUGCCAGGAGUAAGAGGAUUGCCUGGUACCAAAGGUGAAAAAGGGGACAUUGGUAUUGGCAUUGCAGGAGAAAAUGGUCUUCCCGGCCCCCCAGGUCCUCAAGGUCCUCCAGGCUAUGGCAAGAUGGGUGCAACAGGACCAAUGGGCCAGCAAGGCAUCCCUGGCAUCCCUGGGCCCCCGGGUCCCAUGGGCCAGCCAGGCAAGGCUGGCCACUGUAAUCCCUCUGACUGCUUUGGGGCCAUGCCGAUGGAGCAGCAGUACCCACCCAUGAAAACCAUGAAGGGGCCUUUUGGCUGAAAUUCCCCACCUGCCUUUGGAUGAAAGACUCCGUUGGGAAUAAAUGGCCAAAGCUUAUAGGACUCUGUGACAGGUUGUGAAUGUUUUUUUUGUUGUUGUUGUUGUUUUUAAUUGCUGUUAAUAUUUUUUAAAUAAUAAAGAAACAAAACU